rnacentral:rRNA from 1 species
UACGAGGGGGGCAAGCGUUGUGCGGAAUUAUUGGGCGUAAAGAGCUCGUAGGCGGCUUGUUGCGUCAGCUGUGAAAACCCGCAGCUCAACUGUGGGCUUGCAGUCGAUACGGGCAGGCUAGAGUUCGGCAGGGGAGACUGGAAUUCCUGGUGUAGCGGUGAAAUGCGCAGAUAUCAGGAGGAACACCGGUGGCGAAGGCGGCUCUCUGGACCGACACUGGACGCUGAGGCGCGAAAAGCGUGGGGAGCAAACAGG